rnacentral:rRNA from 1 species
UACGAAGGGUGCAAGCGUUAAUCGGAAUUACUGGGCGUAAAGGGUGCGUAGGCGGUUGUUUAAGUCUGUCGUGAAAUCCCCGGGCUCAACCUGGGAAUGGCGAUGGUGACUGCAAGGCUAGAGUUUGGCAGAGGGGGGUAGAAUUCCACGUGUAGCAGUGAAAUGCGUAGAUAUGUGGAGGAACACCGAUGGCGAAGGCAGCCCCCUGGGUCAAAACUGACGCUCAUGCACGAAAGCGUGGGGAGCAAACAGG